CUUGAAACACGGACCAAGGAGUUUAUNGUGUACGCAAGUCAUUGGGUAAUUAAAACCCAAAGGCGUAAUAAAAGUAAAAAGUGAUUUAAAAAUAUUUUUAAAUUCUUAAAGGAAGAAAGAUUUUUUAAAAUUUUUACUACGAGUAAAAAAAAAUUUUAAAAAAUCUUGCAUUCCUAGGGCGCUUGUCUCUCGCAUUGCGAGUAUAUGCGCACCUAGAGCGUACACGAUGAUACCCGAAAGAUGGUGAACUAUGCCUGGCCAGGACGAAGCCAGGGGAAACCCUGGUGGAGGUCCGCAGCGAUUCUGACGUGCAAAUCGAUCGUCAGAGCUGGGUAUAGGGGCGAAAGACCAAUCGAACCAUCUAGUAGCUGGUUCCCUCUGAAGUUUCCCUCAGGAUA
rnacentral:rRNA from 1 species